rnacentral:rRNA from 1 species
CACCAGUUGGACGCAUAUCCUUAGUAGGUUGAAUUUUAGUUGAGAACAAAGACUACAACUAUUAAAAGAGAAAUACAUCCUAGUCUUAUAUAGUCGCUACAUAUUAGCACUGUUAAACUUCAGGUAUCUGCGUGUAGGUUGUCUCGGUACCAAUCACGUAAUUGAAGAUCGAUCGUGUUAUACCUGUACAUGUUUAAAGGCAAGGAACCGAGUUCACUUACACAACCUAACAUACUGCAAUUUAGGAUGAAGGAGGCAAGCCUUAAUGAGCAGGUUCUUUACUUACAUAGAUCUACAUAAAAUCAACAUCUAUGUAGGUAAAAACACUGUUCAUUAAGGCUUGCCUCCCUCAUGCAGGAUGUUAUUUAAGGGAGAACAGUGUGUCCUAAAAUUGUCCAGUAUAUUCACCUAUACGAGCGCAUACCCUGAUACUCUACUGCAUGGGCUGCUUAAAAAAACUUCACAGGCUGUUACGUCAUUACCAGCAGUUUAAAUAACGUUCUUUCCUUACAUAACAUCGAAACUGUAGACUACCAUUGGAAGUACACAUACUGACAGGCACACAGUGUUUUUAACUUUUCUGAUGUGUACAAUUUGGACAAUCACCGACAAGCCAUGAUCGACAAGUAGGUUGAAAUGGUAGUCACAACAGUCGCAGGUUAUGACCGGAUUAUCAAAAUCUGACCCUGGUCCGGACCCUCGUCUGUGUUCUUAAAGUCUGAAUAUUAUUGGGUCCCAGUCACCGUAAAUUGGGACCCCUGCUGUUUACAAAGUGCCCACCCAAAG